UUCGGUCUGCGACGGAUCAUUCAAGUUUCUGACCUAUCAGCUUUCGACGGUACUGUAUUGGACUACCGUGGCAGUGACGGGUAACGGGGAAUUAGGGUUCGAUUCCGGAGAGGGAGCCUGAGAAACGGCUACCACAUCUAAGGAAGGCAGCAGGCGCGCAAAUUACCCAAUCCUGAUUCAGGGAGGUAGUGACAAGAAAUAACAACACUGGAAAUUUCAUUUCUAGUGAUUGGAAUGAUAGGAAUCCAAACCCCUUUCAGAGUAACAAUUGGAGGGCAAGUCUGGUGCCAGCAGCCGCGGUAAUUCCAGCUCCAAUAGCGUAUAUUAAAGUUGUUGCAGUUAAAAAGCUCGUAGUUGGAUUUCUGCUGGAAGCAGCCAGUCCGCCCUCAGGGGUGUGCACUUGGUGAAUUCUAGCAUCCUUCUGGAUUUCUUCACACUUCAUUGUGUGGAGUUUUUUCCAGGACUUUUACUUUGAGAAAAUUAGAGUGUUUCAAGCAGGCUUGUCGCCUUGAAUACUGCAGCAUGGAAUAAUAAGAUAGGAUUUCGGCCCUAUUUUGUUGGUUUCUAGGACUGAAGUAAUGAUUAAUAGGGACGGUUGGGGGCAUUCGUAUUUAACUGUCAGAGGUGAAAUUCUUAGAUUUGUUAAAGACGAACUACUGCGAAAGCAUUUGCCAAAGAUGUUUUCAUUAAUCAAGAACGAAAGUUAGGGGCUCGAAGACGAUCAGAUACCGUCGUAGUCUUAACCAUAAACUAUGCCGACUAGAGAUAGGAAAACGUCAUGCUUGACUUCUCCUGCACCUUAUGAGAA
rnacentral:rRNA from 1 species